UACGGAGGAUCCGAGCGUUAUCCGGAUUUAUUGGGUUUAAAGGGUGCGUAGGCGGCCUUUUAAGUCAGCGGUGAAAGUCUGUGGCUCAACCAUAGAAUUGCCGUUGAAACUGGAGGCCUUGAGUGCACACAGGGGUGCCGGAAUUCAUGGUGUAGCGGUGAAAUGCUUAGAUAUCACGCAGAACUCCGAUUGCGAAGGCAGCAUACCGGCGCCCGACUGACGCUGAGGCACGAAAGCGUGGGGAUCGAACAGG
rnacentral:rRNA from 1 species